rnacentral:misc_RNA from 1 species
AUCAAUCAAUCAAUGACCGACGGUGAGACAGAGCCAUACAACAGCGUAAAGCCGACGGAACGACUGCUGGAGGUGAAGCACAUGAGCAAUUGUUGGUGUAUUGGUACUGUACCGGUACUUGUACUUGCAGAAUCAUAUUCGGUCUUAAUUACACCACCCCACUCGCACUGUACAAUAAUAGUAUGAACUAUUCAUACACCGCUUUUGGACAACCACCCACCAUUAGAGCGGAUAUUGGAUCCUCUAGGACAGCCAAAGUCUAGACCUCCCCACAUAACCACUGGCAAAAAACGAUUCUAAACUCUCGGUCAAAGUUCUGUCGCAUCCGAGUCAUCGACAUGGACAUCGAAACCCUAUUGAACCGAGUGUCGACGAUGAUUGCAGUGGGAAAUUGAGCAAUUAUCCGAAAAAGCGAGCAAAUGAGAUUCAGGGGACUAUUGCAGCCACGUACAGGUGAUCAGAACUGCUUUGGUGCGGAUUUGGUUGUAAUCUGGUUACAAUUACUCGACAUCCAAAGUGAUGCACUCCUCGUCGCGAACUGCGGAACGAGUACCAUCAAAACACCCCACAAUUGAUCAAAUCGAUUCCUCGGGUUCAUGAUGCGAUGCUAACGAGGAUCCUGAAUUGCAAAAUAGUGGAAUUUCAGAUUAUGGACUGACAUCAAAGGUCCACGUAAUAGACCGAUCCCUAGUAUGUACGACGAUAGUCAGGUAAUAAGUGGAGUAUCUCUGU